AUACUCCUACGGGAGGCAGCAGUCGAGAAUCUUUCACAAUGGGGGAAACCCUGAUGGUGCGACGCCGCGUGGGGGAAUGAAGGCCUUCGGAUUGUAACCUCCUGUCAUGUGGGAGCACAUUAAAAAGAUAGUACCACAAGAGGAAGAGACGGCUAACUCUGUGCCAGCAGCCGCGGUAAUACAGAGGUCUCAAGCGUUGUUCGGAAUCACUGGGCGUAAAGCGUGCGUAGGCUGUUUCGUAAGUCGUGUGUGAAAGG
rnacentral:rRNA from 1 species